rnacentral:rRNA from 1 species
UGUUAUUUAAAAUGUAUAAAAUUAAAUAUAAAGUAGUAAAAGAUAUAUUCUUAAAACUUAAAAAAUUUGGCGGUAUUUUAUUCUAUUCAGAGGAAUUUGUUUUUUAAUUGAUAAUCCUCAUUAUAUCUUACUUAAUUUAUUUGUUUGUAUAUCGUCGUCAUAAGAAUAUCUUUAGAGAGAAAAAAGUUUCUAAAAUUUAAAUUUUAAAUAAUGUCAGAUCAAGGUGCAGUUUAUGAUUAAGAAAAAAUGAAUUACAAUAAAUUUAAUUAAAUGGAUAAUUUUUGUGAAAAAAAAAUUGGAAAGUGGAUUUGAAAGUAAAUUGAUUAAUUAUGAUUGUUUGAUAAAAUAGUUCUAAAAUAUGUACAAAUCGCCC